GACAUAGGUGGCGAACGUUAUCCGGAUUUAUUGGGCGUAAAGAGCGUGUAGGCGGCCAGGUAGGUCCGUUGUGAAAACUCGAGGCUCAACCUCGAGACGCCGAUGGAAACCAUCUGGCUAGAGUCCGGAAGAGGAGAGUGGAAUUCCCGGUGUAGCGGUGAAAUGCGCAGAUAUCGGGAAGAACACCCGUGGCUAAGGCGGCUCUCUAGUACGGUACUGACGCUGAGACGCGAAAGCGUGGGGAGCGAACAGG
rnacentral:rRNA from 1 species